rnacentral:rRNA from 1 species
AAAAACAUGGCUUAUUGAUAAUAAUUUUAGGUCUAGCCUGCUCAAUGAGUAAUUAAAUAGCCGCAGUAUCUUAACUGUGCAAAGGUAGCAUAAUCAUUAGUUUUUUAAUUGAAAGCUGGAAUGAAAGGUUGGAUGAGAAAAUAGCUGUCUCUAUAAAAAUUUUUUAGAAUUUUAUUUUUAAGUUAAAAAGCUUAAAUGCUUGUAAAAGACGAGAAGACCCUAUAGAGUUUUAUAUUUAUAUUUAAUGUGUCUUUUAGUAUUCUAAAACUUCUUAAAUUAUUAUAUUUGGUUGGGGUGAUUGGAAAAUUGAAUAAACUUUUCUUUUAAGUUAAACAUAGAUUUAUGGGUAAUUGAUCCUUAAUUUGAGAUUAUAAGAUAAAAUUACCUUAGGGAUAACAGCGUAAUUUUUUUUGAGAGUUCUUAUCGAAAAAAAAGAUUGCGACCUCGAUGUUGGAUUAAAAUUAAUUUUUGGUGUAGGAGCUAAAUAAAUUAGGUCUGUUCGACCUUUAAAAUUUUACUUGAUCUGAGUU